rnacentral:rRNA from 1 species
CCUACGGGAGGCAGCAGUGAGGAAUAUUGGUCAAUGGACGAGAGUCUGAACCAGCCAAGUAGCGUGCAGGAUGACUGCCCUACGGGUUGUAAACUUCUUUUAUAUGGGAAUAAAAUGUUCCACGUGUGGGAUUUUGUAUGUACCAUAUGAAUAAGGAUCGGCUAAAUCCGUGCCAGCAGCCGCGGUAAUACGGAGGAUCCGAGCGUUAUCCGGAUUUAUUGGGGUUAAAGGGAGCGUAGGUGGGUUGUUAAGUCAGUUGUGAAAGUUUGCGGCUCAACCGGAGAAGUGCAGUUGAAACUGGAAGUCUUGAGUACAGAAGAGGAGGGCGGAAUUCGUGGUGUAGCGGUGAAAUGCUUAGAUAUCACGAAGAACUCCGAUUGCGAAGGCAGCUCACCGGGGUGCAACUGACACUGAGGCUCGAAAGUGUGGGUAUCAAACAGGAUUAGAUACCCGUGUAGUC